GAGAACAGUGGUGUAGUUGGUCAUCACUUCUGUUGAACAUGCAGAAGGUCCCCAGUUCGAAUCUGGGUGUUUUCU